CCUACGGGUGGCAGCAGUGAGGAAUAUUGGUCAAUGGGCGCGAGCCUGAACCAGCCAAGUAGCGUGAAGGAUGACUGCCCUACGGGUUGUAAACUUCUUUUAUCAAGGAGUAAAGUGAGGCACGUGUGCCUUUUUGUAUGUACUUUAUGAAUAAGGAUCGGCUAACUCCGUGCCAGCAGCCGCGGUAAUACGGAGGAUCCGAGCGUUAUCCGGAUUUAUUUGGUUUAAAGGGAGCGUCGAUGGGUUGUUAAGUCAGUUGUGAAAGUUUGCGGCUCAACCGUACAAUUGCAAUUGAUACUGGCAGCCUUGAGUACAUUUGAGGUAGGCGGAAUGCGUGGUGUAGCGGUGAAAUGCUUAGAUAUCACGAAGAACUCCGAUUGCGAAGGCAGCCUACUAAACUGCCACUGACAUUGAUGCUCGAAAGUGUGGGUAUCAAACAGGAUUAGAUAUCCUAGUAGUC
rnacentral:rRNA from 1 species